rnacentral:rRNA from 1 species
CCCUUAGAUGUCCUGGGCCGCACGCGCGCUACACUGAUGCAUUCAACGAGUUUUACCUUGGCCGAGAGGCCUGGGCAAUCUUUUAAACCUGCAUCGUGAUAGGGAUAGAUUAUUGCAAUUAUUAAUCUUGAACGAGGAAUUCCUAGUAAACGCAAAUCAUCAAUUUGCAUUGAUUACGUCCCUGCCCUUUGUGCACACCGCCCGUCGCACCUACCGAUUGAAUGGUCCGGUGAAGCCUCGGGAUUGUGGCCAGUUCACUUUAUUGGGAGUUGGCUGUGAGAACUUGUCUAAACCUUAUCAUUUAGAGGAAGGUGAAGUCGUAAC